CGACACCGCGCGGAACCCGAAAGCCGUUCUCAGUUCGGAUCGGAGUCUGCAACCCGACUCCGUGAAGCUGGAUUCGCUAGUAAUCGCGCAUCAGCCAUGGCGCGGUGAAUACGUUCCCGGGCCUUGUACACACCGCCCGUCAAGCCAUGGGAGCCGGGGGUGCUUGAAGUGCGUCGCCGCAAGGCGCGCCCUAGAGCAAAACCGGUGACUGGGGCUAAGUCGUAACAAGGUACC
rnacentral:rRNA from 1 species